GUAGGGAAUCUUGCGCAAUGGGCGAAAGCCUGACGCAGCCAUGCCGCGUGAAUGAUGAAGGUCUUAGGAUUGUAAAAUUCUUUCACCGGGGACGAUAAUGACGGUACCCGGAGAAGAAGCUCCGGCUAACUUCGUGCCAGCAGCCGCGGUAAUACGAAGGGGGCUAGCGUUGCUCGGAAUUACUGGGCGUAAAGGGCGCGUAGGCGGACAGCUUAGUCAGAGGUGAAAGCCCAGGGCUCAACCUUGGAAUUGCCUUUGAUACUGGCUGUCUUGAGUACGGGAGAGGUGAGUGGAACUCCGAGUGUAGAGGUGAAAUUCGUAGAUAUUCGGAAGAACACCAGUGGCGAAGGCGACUCACUGGCCCGUUACUGACGCUGAGGCGCGAAAGCGUGGGGAGCAAACAGGAUUAGAAACCCGGGUAGUCC
rnacentral:rRNA from 1 species